rnacentral:rRNA from 1 species
UAGGGAAUAUUAGAAAUGGACGAAAGUCUGAUCUAGCAACACCGCGUGUGCGAAGAAGGCCUUCGGGUCGUAAAGCACUUUUUGGAAGGAAUAGGAAGGAAUGUACUUCCAGAAUAAGUCUCGGCUAACUACGUGCCAGCAGCCGCGGUAACACGUAGGAGGCGAACGUUAUCCGGAUUUACUGGGCGUAAAGCGCGUGUAGGUGGUUCUGUAAGUAGGGCGUGAAAGCUCCUGGCUCAACUGGGAGAGGCCGUUCUAAACUACAGAACUAGAGGAUAGUAGAGGGAGGUGGAAUUCCGGGUGUAGCGGUGGAAUGCGCAGAUAUCCGGAGGAACACCAGUGGCGAAAGCGGCCUCCUGGACCAUGCCUGACACUCAGACGCGAAAGCUAGGGUAGCAAACG